UGGAAGCCCGGGGGUUGUUGGGUCUUCACCCGGGAAAUGGGGAGAGAGACUGCGGGGCAGCUGGCACCACAUACGUGCCUUACAGGUGGGGUGUGGGGACUUAGGAGGGCUUAGCACCCAGAGCAUUAGCCCAGGGCCUGGCCCCUGGUGGCUUCUCCCGGCCGCUGGCUGCUUGGCAGGGCUGGAGGGGAGGAGACCCACAGUUUCGGGCUUGAGUCACCUCCCUCCUGGCCAGGCUUCGGCGGCACUGACUCAGCGCCUGCGUGAGCUGGAUGCUGCCUGGAAAGCUAAUCAGCCUCUGAGGGGAGAGGAGAGGAGAAGAAAUGGUGGUAGAGAAAGAAAGGCAAGGGGAGCUGUGCAGAACCACCCGGAAGCUUGAGAGUUCAACGCGGAGAACCUGCUCUGUGCCAGGCCCCCACCUGGGAGUUGUGCGUGAAAUCAGGACCCAGAUGCUGCAGAACUGAAGUGGGAAGGGACUGACCACCACUGGGCAAAAGGCCGAAGAGGGUAGGCCACAGAGGGGCUGUCUCUAAGGGCUAAAAAUACAAGGGUUGAGACCAACUGAAGUGUGGCGAUUUCCUUGACGUUGGCAUUUUGGUUUUGUUUUCCUUUUUUUAAGAUAAGAGUUAUAUAGUAACUCAGAGCUCAGUAACAUCAGCAUUUUGGAAGUAGGAUAGGAAGAAAGUCUCAUCACAAGGGAGCCCUGUGGAGAGGAAUGAGCACAGAAUUUGGAGUCAGAAGAGUGGAAGGCCUGGGCUUGGGGCCUGGCUGCACCGUGCCGGCUGGAUUGUUCUGGGAAAGCUGCCCAACUCUCUGCUCCGCAGUCCCCACAUCUGUCACUAGGGAUCAUAUCUGCCUCACAGGAUCAGCUGAGAUAAGGCACGUGUGUAAAAGGCUGUACAAAUGUUAGUUACUAUAAGGUUGUCUCAAAAAAAUAAAACCCACGGCAAAGAGUAUCCCAAGGCAGGCUCAUUUUACUCCAAUUACCAUUUGGCACCGAGCAGAUCAGGGGACUUACUGCAUGACACAGCAAGUCAGUGGAAGAGCCAAGGAGUGCACUCAUCCAAGUUACUGAUUCCGAUGUCAGCAAAACCUGCUGAAACCCAUCUUCACACUGCAGUUCAGAGGGUGUCCCCAGGAAGCACCUCUCUGCAAAGCAUGUUCAACGUAGUUCCCAGUGGCCUGCCAAAUGGUCAGCAGCAAGGUGUAACUGGAUGUCGCUUCCAGGAAGCAGAGUGAAAAGAGACAAGGAGUAGGAAACUAAUGUCCAGAGUCGGCCAUUUGCCCCAGGGACCGGAGUGGAGACUGCAUUUCUAAGUGCUUCCUCUGUCCACAGCCCUCCUCCCCCAUACCUUUUAAAAACAGAUUUGCUGGCUGGGUACGGUGGCUCAUGCCUGUAAU
rnacentral:lncRNA from 1 species